AUACUUCUAAAGUACAUAUUCAAAGGUUGGAAAGAUACAGAGAAGAUUAGCAUGGCACCUGCGUUAACGUCGACAUUCAUCGUAAGAUGGGUUCCGCCGGAAUUA